GCCCAGCAGGUUAGUUCAUUUCUUUCUGAUUGGCCCUUGUCCUUCUUAUUCCCGCCUCUGCAGGUAUACUGAGAAUUAUGAUUGGAUGAAGGGGUGGAGUUUAGAACUGCAGAUCGGUGUGAGAGUUUAGUUAACGAUGUGACUGGGAGGAAUUCAUGGACCAGUUGGGACUUACCUCGGAUGUGCUUUGGAGUAUCGUUGCUAUGGCGAUAAAGGAUCGGUUCGGUAGAGGAGGUACAGAAAGAUCUACAGGUUCAGAGGAGGGAAUUUGGUGUUCCAGCCGCCUGGGAAGCCGUUCAGCUGACCAGAGUCCGCUCUUCCAGAACCAGAACCCAUGCAGGUGGAUCCUACUGGUGUCUCACUGUCAGAGCGCCAUGGAAGACUUACUCUAGGAUCGUGUCUAUACUGUGGAGCAUCGGGGCAUACCAUCAUCUCAUGCCCCAUUCGCCCACCACCACCACACCUGUCUCAGCCCUCCUCCAUUCAGGAUUAACUAAUUAAACCACAUAAGUCCGUCCCACACCACUGUAUUAUUAGAUAAAGUGCUGUGAUCUUAUAUGAUAAAACAUUUAAUAAGGUGUUAAUACGAUCAGUUCUGCUUAUAAAACAUUUCUCAUUAAUUAAAUGAAAAAUAGUACCUUUUAUUUUUUAUGUUUACAAUGUUAACAAACUUAUUGAUGCUGUACCUGUUCCAUCCUCCACAUUUUGCUCACCUAGUUUGUCUGGCACAUCCUUCUCUACCUUUUCACACAAAUGGACACUGAGCUGCUCACUAGGGAGGAAUCACAUAUGAAAGUUACCACUUACUUACUUGUUCCCCUCCCUACAAGCUUGUUUAAAUCCUGUUUGUAUUCAUUGUGCCCUGCUGUUCUCAGUAUUGUAAAUGAUUCCCUGCAUACUGGUGUUGUGCCAGCA